rnacentral:lncRNA from 1 species
GAACACUGUAAGUGUUAACAUAUCUCUUUCAUUAUUAUGGAUUCUAACUUUCAUAAGCAAAGGAUUCCAGACAUUGCUCCCCAUAGAUUUAAACAUGUACUUAUGUUCAGACUGACUUGCUGCCUUAGUCUUAAAUUGAAAAGAAAUCAACUGGAUAAUACAAAUUUAAUCUGUAUCUGUGGAUGGAAAAACCCCUGGCUUUUGUGGGACUAUGAUAAUUCUUAGCAAAAGUGGUAACUGGUAUUUGUGUAAAGCUUUCUUCAGUUUGUUUAGUUUUGCAAAUCUCGAUGUUCUGAAUAAUAAGAUACUCAUUUUGAAAAUAAAUAAAAUAUACAUUUUCAAGUGAAUAUUGGAAGAAAACUUAAGGAACCAUUCUAAACUUUUUAUGCAGAUGUAUGAUACUGGGCUUUAAAAGACAUAUAAUAGCAUGGAAGCACUGGUUUUGAAAUAGGAUGUAAAUAAAACAUCCUCCUUUUUUCAUUGCUUUUGUAUUAUUUUGUACGCAGUAAUUCCAAUAGACAUUUUCUGGGCAACAGUUUGUCAGCAAUUAUUCUGUUGAGAAUGUAGAAAAGAAAACAGUAAUUAAAUACCUUCACUUAUCCUACUUUAUCCCUGACUCUAUAGCUAAACUUAAGCAUGGAUUGAAAAUAAACAUACCUUGGGAUAACUUAAUAUAGAGACGUAUUGGGUAUCCUUGCUCUUGAAGCAGUCCUGUACAUGGUUAUAGAUAUUAAAUGCCUUUAUGGAUAAUUUUUUAGCUAUUUCUCUUUUAUCUGUCUCUAAUAAAUGCCAUAGACUAUUUUGUUAAAUGAAAUAUUCCUUUCCUUGAAGAGUAGUCUGUGGUAGGAGUUCCCGUCGUGGCGCAGUGGUUAACGAAUCCGACUAGGAACAAUGAGGUGAGGGGUUUGAUCCUGGCCUUGCUCAGGUUAAGGAUCCGGCGUUGGCCUGAGCUGUGGUGUAGGUUGCAGACGCGGCUGGGAUCCUGCAUUGCUGUGGCUCUGGCAUAGGCCAGUGGCUACAGCUCUGAUUCGACCCCUAGCCUGGGAACCUCCAUAUGCCGAGAGAAGCUGCCCUAGAAAAGGCAAAAAGAUCCCCCC